AUAGGGKGCAAGCGUUKUCYGGAAUUAUUGGGSGUAAARAGSUSGUAGGUGGUUYKUYWMRUCGGAUGUGAAAAUCYGGGGCUUAACCCCRGACCUGCAUUCGAUACGGGCNAGCUAGAGUGUGGUAGGGGAGACUGGAAUUCCUGGUGUAGCGGUGGAAUGCGCAGAUAUCAGGAGGAACACCAAUGGCGAAGGCAGGUCUCUGGGCCAUUACUGACACUGAGGAGCGAAAGCGUGGGGAGCGAACAGGAUUAGAUACCCUGGUAGUCCACGCCGUAAACGGUGGGCACUAGUUGUGGGAACCUUCCACGGUUUCUGCGACGCACCUAACGCAUUAAKUGCCCCGCCUGGGGAGUACGAUCGCARGAUUA
rnacentral:rRNA from 1 species